CCUACGGGGGGCGGCAGUUAGGAAUAUUCGGCAAUGGGGGAAACCCUGACCGAGCAAUGCCGCGUGUGAGAUGACGGCCCUAUGGGUUGUAAAUCACUUUUAUUUGGGAAGAAUUGUAAGCAUAGGAAAUGAUGUUUACUUGACGGUACCUUUUGAAUAAGCCCCGGCUAACUACGUGCCAGCAGCCGCGGUAAAACGUAGGGGGCGAGCGUUGUCCGGAAUGACUGGGCGUAAAGGGUGCGUAGGCGGCAUAAUAAGUUAGAAGUGAAAUACCCAGAGCUUAACUCGGGUGCUGCUUCUAAGAC
rnacentral:rRNA from 1 species